rnacentral:rRNA from 1 species
CCUACGGGAGGCAGCAGUGGGGAAUAUUGGACAAUGGGGGGAACCCUGAUCCAGCCAUGCCGCGUGUGUGAAGAAGGCCCUCGGGUUGUAAAGCACUUUCAGUGAGGAAGAACGCCUGGUGGUUAAUACCCAUCAGGAAAGACAUCACUCACAGAAGAAGCACCGGCUAACUCCGUGCCAGCAGCCGCGGUAAUACGGAGGGUGCGAGCGUUAAUCGGAAUUACUGGGCGUAAAGCGCGCGUAGGUGGCUUGAUAAGCCGGUUGUGAAAGCCCCGGGCUCAACCUGGGAACGACAUCCGGAACUGUCAAGCUAGAGUGCAGGGGAGGAAGGUAGAAUUCCCGGUGUAGCGGUGAAAUGCGUAGAGAUCGGGAGGAAUACCAGUGGCGAAGGCGGCCUUCUGGACUGACACUGACACUGAGGUGCGAACGCGUGGGUAGCAAACAGGAUUAGCUAGCCUUGUAGUC